UCGGAGAGAGAUUGUAAAAGGAGAACUUUCGAUUGGUUGAAAAAGCUUUCGCUGUCUCUGGAUAAGACGGCUUCUUUGGGGGGAUUGAAGCCCAGUUUCGUUUCACGAGCUAGUUAGCAUGUCGGCGUACGUGCCCUGCAUGAGCAUCGAUCCCCGCACGAUAAUGUUUGGCAACUGCGCGACUCCGAAACCUUUUCAACUUUUAAAGCCUUGCGCAGUUCCCAAUCUGGGGUACUUUUCAGAGAAUUCCGUGCAACGAGCAUCGUUCAAUUGGAUCCUGGUAGGACACUCGCCAGGCCAACUUUAUCCUUCCUGUCUCCCUUUUUAAUAAGACUCAUGAGGUCAAGUUUAUUGGAAACAUGUGUAACUUCAUUUGCCAUAAAGCAAGGAAUCCAUUUGGUUAACGGAUACUCUUCCUCUUUUCAUGCUUGUUGCAGUUCAGUAUGAGAGAUUUCUAUGCUACUUCUGAGUUCCAGCUUCCAGAAUGAUUAUAAUAGUUACCAUUACUUUUUUGAAACUCGGUAAAAAUAUUUAUGUCAAGGAUAUGUAUUUU